AUUGCGCAACCUCUUGGAAUCUCAAUUUAACAUUGCCAUAGAUGCCAUCGGGCAAUGAGGAGGUGUGUGACCAUAUUGAUGUAAUGUAAUUCCAUGGAGAUAGUUGCCUAAUUCAGACAAUCAUUGUGUGACUAGACAGAGGCUUGAGAAGAUUUUUUAGCAGCAUCGUGUGACUGGACUUGAAAAUUAUUUUUUGGGAGCUUAUGUACAUGCCACUUUCCAAACAUGUUGUGCAAAAUUUUUUGUGGACAUAAAUAUUGGCAGCUUGUGUGGAUAAACAUGGCUAGAUUUUGUGGAUUGUGUCCAGAUGUACGUGUGUGAUGGUUUUGUGUCUAGUUGUGUAUGAAUUUUGUGUAUUUUGAGGGUUGGAGACAAAAAUACAUUAGAGAUUUAUAGACUAUAGAUUUUGAUUCAAAAUAAGGAAUUGGGAGUAGG